rnacentral:rRNA from 1 species
GUGCCAGCAGCCGCGGCGAUACGUAGGGUGCGAGCGUUGUCCGGAUUUAUUGGGCGUAAAGGGCUCGUAGGUGGUUGAUCGCGUCGGAAGUGUAAUCUUGGGGCUUAACCCUGAGCGUGCUUUCGAUACGGGUUGACUUGAGGAAGGUAGGGGAGAAUGGAAUUCCUGGUGGAGCGGUGGAAUGCGCAGAUAUCAGGAGGAACACCAGUGGCGAAGGCGGUUCUCUGGGCCUUUCCUGACGCUGAGGAGCGAAAGCGUGGGGAACAAACAGGUAUUAUAUACCCUGGUAGUCC